UCGUAUUUUCUCUCUUCUUGACUUUCGAGAACUCUAUCAAUCGACGCUUCCACAAUUUGCUGAAACAGCAAAUCCCUUCGAUUUUUUUUUCAGAUUAAGUUUCCUUUUCUCUCGUUCGCCUGAAGCGGAUCUAGCUGGUUAGGGCUUCUCGCUCUCGCCGUCGAGUUCUAUAACAGAAACAGAGAAUAAAAGGCUUCAUUCAAGAAUAAGAGACUUUGAACAAGAUUCAAGUGAUUAUGAUGAGACGAAAAUGAAGGAGUUAGAGCAGAUCAGCGUGACAACAUAUAACAUCACCUCAAACGCAAUGAUGACAAUGAUCUUUGUUGGCCUUGACUCCGCGCUUCACACCGUCUCUCUAAGGUAAAUUCUCUGCAUGUCCUUAGACUUUCUCGUUUUGUUUUGAAGCGCUUUUAUCCCGGUUUUUUUUUUGAGAUUUUUGAAAUCAGGAUUCCGUUUUGAACUGUUUUUUAUUUGACUCCGAUUUUCCUCUUUUUUAACAGGACUUUUAAAGCUUUUUGUUUUCUUGUGGUUUUAUCAAACCCAAGAGAUUAGGCAGACGUUCUUGUAAUGUUCCACCAAAUCUUGUUUGGGCAUUGUUUUGGUUUUGUUUUGUUUUUGUUUUUCAAACCCCAAAAAAGAUCAUAGACAGACACUAAUCUUAUAGUGUUCUGUCAGAUUCUUGUUUGGGAACAUUGUUUUGGUUUUGUUUUUCAAACCCCAAAAGAGAUCAUAGACAGACACUAAUCUUAUAGUGUUCUGUCAGAUUCUUGUUUGGGAACAUUGUUUUGGUUUUGUUUUUCAAACCCCAAAAGAGAUCAUAGACAGACACUAAUCUUAUAGUGUUCUGUCAGAUUCUUGUUUGGGAACAUUGUUUUGGUUUUGUUUUUCAAACCCCAAAAGAGAUCAUAGACAGACACUAAUCUUAUAGUGUUCUGUCAGAUUCUUGUUUGGGAACAUUGUUUUGGUUUUGUUUUUCAAACCCCAAAAGAGAUCAUAGACAGACACUAAUCUUAUAGUGUUCUGUCAGAUUCUUGUUUGGGAACAUUGUUUUGGUUUUGUUUUUCAAACCCCAAAAGAGAUCAUAGACAGACACUAAUCUUAUAGUGUUCUGUCAGAUUCUUGUUUGGGAACAUUGUUUUGGUUUUGUUUUUCAAACCCCAAAAGAGAUCAUAGACAGACACUAAUCUUAUAGUGUUCUGUCAGAUUCUUGUUUGGGAACAUUGUUUUGGUUUUGUUUUUCAAACCCCAAAAGAGAUCAUAGACAGACACUAAUCUUAUAGUGUUCUGUCAGAUUCUUGUUUGGGAACAUUGUUUUGGUUUUGUUUUUCAAACCCCAAAAGAGAUCAUAGACAGACACUAAUCUUAUAGUGUUCUGUCAGAUUCUUGUUUGGGAACAUUGUUUUGGUUUUGUUUUUCAAACCCCAAAAGAGAUCAUAGACAGACACUAAUCUUAUAGUGUUCUGUCAGAUUCUUGUUUGGGAACAUUGUUUUGGUUUUGUUUUGUUUUUGUUUUUCAAACCCCAAAAAAGAUCAUAGACAGACACUAAUCUUAUAGUGUUCUGUCAGAUUCUUGUUUGGGAACAUUGUUUUGGUUUUGUUUUUCAAACCCCAAAAGAGAUCAUAGACAGACACUAAUCUUAUAGUGUUCUGUCAGAUUCUUGUUUGGG